rnacentral:rRNA from 1 species
GACGAACGCUGGCGGCGUGCUUAACACAUGCAAGUCGAACGGAGUUACGUAUGAAGUAUUCGGUACGGACUACAUAACUUAGUGGCGAACGGGUGAGUAACACGUGGGCAACCUGCCCUUAACCGGGGGAUAACAUUGUGAAAACAGUGCUAAUACCGCAUAACAGAGUAUCGGGCAUCCGAUAUUUUAAAAGGAGCAAUCCGGUUUAGGAUGGGCCCGCGUCCAAUUAGCUAGUUGGUGAGGUAACGGCUCACCAAGGCUACGAUUGGUAGCCGAACUGAGAGGUUGAUCGGCCACAUUGGGACUGAGACACGGCCCAGACUCCUACGGGAGGCAGCAGUGGGGAAUAUUGGGCAAUGGGCGAAAGCCUGACCCAGCGACGCCGCGUGAAGGAUGAAGGUCUUCGGAUUGUAAACUUCUUUGAUCAGGGAAGAAAGAAAUGACGGUACCUGAAGAACAAGCCACGGCUAACUACGUG